rnacentral:rRNA from 1 species
UACGGGGGGGGCAAGCGUUGUUCGGAAUUACUGGGCGUAAAGGGUUCGUAGGUGGCCAACUAAGUCAGACGUGAAAUCCCCAGGCUCAACUUGGGAACUGCGUCUGAUACUGGAUGGCUUGAAUUCGGGAGAGGGAUGCAGAAUUCCAGGUGUAGCGGUGAAAUGCGUAGAUAUCUGGAGGAACACCGGUGGCGAAGGCGGCAUCCUGGACCAAUUCUGACACUGAGGAGCGAAAGCCAGGGGAGCAAACGGG